AGCAGCAAUUGUCUGGAUUAGCAAUUCCCUCUUCGAUCCCACUGCAACAGAGACCACCAAGUUCUCAGUUCACUCCUAAUUACAUGAAUCCAUCACAACACACCUACCCUUCCUAAGUCACUCAGUGGUGCUUUGCUGUCAAUACAAUCUGCCUGGUCGGAUUUCCAUGGUCUUCUAGAUCAACCUCAGCAAGUAAAUAAUCAGGUUUAACUGUGCUACUCUCUCUCACUGUGCGCUUUAUGGAUUACAUUAACAUGGGGACUGGUUUUACAACUAUGAGAAGAGAAACUCCCAUAGAGGUGAUUGGAUGUAGCUGUCUUAUCAUUUUUAAUUCUCUGUUUACACUUUGUUUUGAUCCUUUUGGUUUUCCUAUGCUUUUACUCUGACGAUUUUCUUCCCUGUUAUGAGUUAGCAAUUACAAGUUCUAUUAAUAGCACAUUUAACUUUAUCCCACUGGUUAACUAAAUCUCACACUUCUAAAUUCUUUCUUAACUCCCGAUUACUUUCUCGUUUUCCUUUUCCCCUUUUGUUUCUUUAUUAUUUGUUUUCUUCCCUGUGCAAUGGAGGUGCUCUGAUUCUGGUUCAGGCUGUCAUGAACUUAAAGUUAUCGUGCUCAGACAAUAUUUCCUCAUACAUGGCUGUUAUCUCCUGCCUAAAAUCUAAAGCUUUAUCUAUUCUUUUGCAACUCUGUGAAGCUGAAGUGUAUCAUAUACCUGGAUGAGGUGGCCAGCAACACAGCAACUUAGGAUAUGGCAAAGUCAGUUGGACUCGAGGUUCUUGCAUUGCUGAAAAAAGCUUGGUAUAGAUUCAAGACAGUUAAAUGCUCCCUCCGAGGCAAGUUACCGAACAGGCAACUGGAGCUUAAGACAAAGCUCUUGGCAGAUGCCGUCUCAAAUGCUUCAAAUUAUCUGUCAUUCAUCAUGAAUUGUGUUUAGUGUUAGUAUUUUGUGUAUUGUGUAGUGUUUUUUUGUAUGCAUGUGUAAAGUGUGUUUGCGUAGUGUAGGUAUUUUUGUGUAUUUUGUGUAUAGUUUAUCUAGUGCAGUGUGUUUUGUUG